GGAUGAACGCUGGCGGCGUGCUUAACCCAUGCAAGUCGAACGGAAAGGCUCCUGCUUGCAGGGGUACUCGAGUGGCGAACGGGUGAGUAACACGUGGGUGAUCUGCCCUGCACUUCGGGAUAAGCCUGGGAAACUGGGUCUAAUACCGGAUAGGACGAUGGUUUGGAUGCCAUUGUGGAAAGUUUUUUCGGUGUGGGAUGAGCUCGCGGCCUAUCAGCUUGUUGGUGGGGUGAUGGCCUACCAAGGCGUCGACUGGUAGCCGGCCUGAGAGGGUGUACGGCCACAUUGGGACUGAGAUACGGCCCAGUCGGCUACGGGAGGCAGCAGUGGGGAAGAUGGCACAAUGGGCGCAAGCCUGAUGCAGCGACGACGGGUGGGGGAUGACGGCCUUAGGGUAGUAAACUCCUUGCGCUAGGGACGAAACGCAAGUGACGGUACCUGGAGAAGAAGCACCGGCUAACUACGUG
rnacentral:rRNA from 1 species